UGCUCAAAUAUGGCUUUUUGUGUAAAAAAUAAAGAUUUUCGAAGCAAAAACUUGAAAAUUCUGUAGUGGCAGCGAUAUUGCCAACAAGCGUUCAGUUUCUGUCUAGAAAGCAUGUUGGCGAAAUCACCAACACUGUCUGAACAACUCCUGUGUCAAACGGCAAUCAGUUCGUUAGAAAAGUUAGUGCAACCUUGAAGUCGUAAUUCUAAUUUUCCUUUAUUUUUCAUGUCACAGGAAUGAAUGGACACAAUGAUCGACACAGUUCGAGUAGAAGUGAUCGUGACAGGCAUCGAGACCGGGACCGCAGGUAGACGAGGUGACUUCUGUGAUGGUCAGUGUUUACUGCGUUUCCAGGUGAUGUGACAGAAGAAGUAUGUGAAAUCCCUCGGAUACUCUAUUGCUUUAGCGGACCUCUUUUCUAGAAACUUAUGAAGCCUACUCUCGCUAUUUUCAGGUGAUGACUACUAUCUUUGUAAUUAUUGUCAAUAGCUACAUAGCUGAAAUAUUUCUCUAAUUGCACCUUCUUUGAUGAAGUCAAUUAACCAUAAAUUUAAAUUUCAACCUUGAUGUGAAUUUGACAACAACUUUGUCCAUUCAGAAUAUUUGUUUCAGUUUUUGUCGAAAUCUCUCAGUAAAUUAUUGAGUUAUGUCUGGUACUAUUAAAGACUCAAAUUCCUUUAAAAUCACGCCUGAAACUUUUAAAAUGAGGAGACAAUGAGUUAAUGAGAAUGCACUUCUUGUAAAAUUUGAUGCAACUUAAAGGCACCUCUCCCUAUCCCAAUAAAGAAAGUCUGACAAGGGGUUUUGAAAGCGCUCGAGCUAUUGUUUAAGCAUUUCUUUUCAUACUGCAUCUCGAGCAAACUGCAACUAGAGCAAAUUUUGAAACCCUGUGAGGAGGACUUGAUUACGUACAGACAUUUUUCCUUAAGCUAGUGUUAGCUACCAUGACGGAGGAGGAAGUUGAUCAAAGUAAUGACAAAUAAAUGGUAGCAGUCCUUGUGUGAAAAGGAUUUUCCCAUUUAGGAUUCGUUGUCUUGAUGAACAAGAGUGGGUAACUUAUGUUCGCCUUGAUGUAAUUCAUUGCCAAAAUUAUUUACGUAGUUCGAGGUUCAGGUCUUGAUUGGAGCUAAUCUCAUGGGAGUGUCUCAAUUAGAGGUAGGAACUCUUAUUUGCUCUUGGAAGAUUCAUUCAGGUGGAUAAGGAGAGUGACUCACUUUAGUUGUAUGAAAUUCUACCAAGAGUGUGUCCGCUAAGCAUAUUGUCCCCAUUUUAUAGGCAUGUCAAAUUUGACCCAAAUUUUAUAUCUUACAAAUUUUAAAUUUGUAGCGUUCUGAUCGAUUUUACAGUAAGACUUUAGAAUUUUAUAGAGAGGGUACUAGUGCCAUAAGUUCAAAUUAAUAUUAACCAGUCAUCUUAUUCCUGUGUCAAUUUCUAAGUACACUUAUUCCUGUUGUACAUUUUUUUUUGUAAAUUUAGCAUCCCAAAGGUGGGAGAAAUUUCUCAGCGCUUAGUUUAUGAGGUAACCUUUUAUUUUCAAUUUUUUUGCCGAUGUGUUUGAAUGUGUUUCCAUCGAUCCUUUUUCUCCAUCAUUGUUAGGAUUUACCAUCCUUCCUUUGCUUUCAAGUUUGGAUUUGUAUAAGAACAAGGGUCACAAUGUCAUUCACAGUUUUGAUGAAUUGUACGAGACAUCCUUGAAAGCAGCCCCCCCCCCCCCCCCCCCAAUAUGAUCACCACAGGUUUCCAGAGAGGUAUCCAAAUACAAAUAAAAACAUACAGCUGCGUAGUUUUUGCAAAUUUUGCUCUUCGUCAAAUGAGGUUAGAAUGGCUCACAUAGGCUAAUUAUGGAGUCGGAUGAUGAAAAUAUAUAAAAUUAAAUUUUGACUCCAGCAAAUAUUUACUAGAUUGA
rnacentral:lncRNA from 1 species